rnacentral:rRNA from 1 species
UGGGGAAUAUUGGGCAAUGGGCGCAAGCCUGACCCAGCGACGCCGCGUGAGGGAAGAAGGUUUUCGGAUUGUAAACCUCUGUCUUCAGGGACGAUAAUGACGGUACCUGAGGAGGAAGCCACGGCUAACUACGUGCCAGCAGCCGCGGUAAUACGUAGGUGGCAAGCGUUGUCCGGAAUUACUGGGUGUAAAGGGAGCGUAGGCGGGAUUGCAAGUUGAAUGUUAAAACUAUCGGCUCAACUGGUAGCUGCGUUCAAAACUGCAAUUCUUGAGUGAAGUAGAGGCAGGCGGAAUUCCUAGUGUAGCGGUGAAAUGCGUAGAUAUUAGGAGGAACACCAGUGGC